AUGUGCUGUUUCUGUCUAAGCUGCUGUACUUUUGAUCCAGGAAGUAACGAAAUCAUCUCAUCUCUCAUGUACCAGGAUGAGAGGUGGCGAGCAGCACAGAGGCUCAGAUCGGAACGGAGUAUUUGUACUGACUCCAACAGGAAGAAGACAUAAAGCUUUCCCAGUGUCCUGGAGGGUAAAUAACUCUGAUCCUCAAACAUUAAAACAAUUCGAAUAAAUUCACCAGUUUACGUUAUGUUCCUGCAAAAGUUUUCUGCUCUUCCUUUUCUUUUUGGUACUGGGGAUUGAACGCAAGGCCAUUCCACUGAGCUACAUCCUCAGACCUUUUAAUUUUUGUUAUUUUGAGACAGGGUCUUGCCAAGUAGCACAGUCGCCCAGAUAAAGCUUGAAAUUGCCAUCCUCUUGUCUCAACCUUACAGUGCUGGUAUUACAGGUGUGUGCCACCACACCCAGCUUUACAGCAUAGUGAAAAUGUGUUCAAGUAUCAUGAGAGCCAUACAAUAAAGCAUUUUCAUUUAUUUAUGGAAUACUAACCUUAAAAUACUAUCGUUGCAUUUUGAACAGAUACAUCAUAGUUUUAAGAUAGUAGAUUCAAUUUAACCCUUUUAAAAAUUUAAGACAUGUUGAAAUUUGGGUAUGCUGCCACCAGGUGGUGGUAAACCCUUUGAGUCAUAGGUCAUUGUGCUUUAAAUUCUUUUUAAAAAUUGCUUUAAAUAAAAACAGUAA
rnacentral:lncRNA from 1 species